rnacentral:ncRNA from 2 species
UAGUACCUUCGGGGUCGGGUGCAAAUCCCAAUCGGCGGUAAAGCCCGCGAGCUUUGAUAAGCAGGAUUCGGUGAAAUUCCGAAGCCGACAGUAAUAGUCUGGAUGAGAGAAGGUAAGC